UACAGAGGUCUCAAGCGUUGUUCGGAUUCAUUGGGCGUAAAGGGUGCGUAGGCGGCGCGGUAAGUCGGGUGUGAAAUCUCGGGGCUUAACUCCGAAACUGCAUUCGAUACUGCCGUGCUUGAGGACUGGAGAGGAGACUGGAAUUCACGGUGUAGCAGUGAAAUGCGUAGAUAUCGUGAGGAAGACCAGUGGCGAAGGCGGGUCUCUGGACAGUUCCUGACGCUGAGGCGCGAAGGCCAGGGGAGCAAACGGG
rnacentral:rRNA from 1 species